rnacentral:rRNA from 1 species
CCUACGGGAGGCAGCAGUGAGGAAUAUUGGUCAAUGGACGAGAGUCUGAACCAGCCAAGUAGCGUGAAGGAUGACUACCCUAUGGGUUGUAAACUUCUUUUAUAUGGGAAUAACAUGUUCCACGUGUGGGAUUUUGUAUGUACCAUAUGAAUAAGGAUCGGCUAACUCCGUGCCAGCAGCCGCGGUAAUACGGAGGAUCCGAGCGUUAUCCGGAUUUAUUGGGUUUAAAGGGAGCGUAGGUGGAGUGUUAAGUCAGUUGUGAAAGUUUGCGGCUCAACCGUAAAAUUGCAGUUGAAACUGGCAGUCUGGAGUACAGUAGAGGUGGGCGGAAUGCGUGGUGUAGCGGUGAAAUGCUUAGAUAGCACGAAGAACUCCGAUUGCGAAGGCAGCUCACUGGACUGCAACUGACACUGAGGCUCGAAAGUGUGGGUAUCAAACAGGAUUAGAUACCCCAGUAGUC